rnacentral:sRNA from 1 species
GGGAGCUUCUUGCGAAGAACUGCCCGCAGCAUCCUGGACCUUCCGUGGCAGAUUGUGCAGAUCAGCGAGACCAGCCAGGCCGGCCUGUUCAGGCUGUGGGCGCUCGUUGGCAGUGACUUGCACUGCAUCAGGCUGAGCAUCCCCCGUGUGUUUUACGUGAACCAGCGAGUCGCUAAAGCAGAGGAGGGCACUUCGUAUCGCAAGGUAGGGAGGCAGCUGGUGCUGCCUCUGCAGUCAUCUGGGCAGCCUGAGGUGGCUUUCCUGUGAUCUAGCAUGGCCUCGAGCCUCCAUCUCCUCAGUACCUUAGGGGGAUGUUGUAGGAAUUCCUCAAAACAACGUGUGUGAGCACUGAGCCCAGAGCCUGGGGCAGAGCGAGUGCCGGGAAUGGAGCUGCUGGUGUCCUUGUCACGAUGAGCUUGUCUGCCUGCGAGGUCCAUGUUGUGGGGACAAACCAAGUGGCGUUGGUUAGAGAUUGUGAACUCUGUCUCCAUAGGCUCUUUGGUUGUUAACAGCUUUAUUGGGAUGUAAAGUUACACACCAUCCAACGCACCCAUUUCAAGUGCAGAAUUAAUGGCUUUUAGGGGCAUGA